GGGGAAUUUUCCGCAAUGGGCGAAACGCCUGACGGAGCAAGACCGCGGGGGGGAGGAAGGUUCUUGGAUUGUCAACCCCUUCUCUCAGGGGAAGAAGAAAGUGACGGUACCUGAGGAAGAAGCAUCGGCUAACUCCGUGCCAGCAGCCGCGGUAAUACGGGGGAUGCAAGCGUUAUCCGGAACGAUUGGGCGUAAAGAGUCCGUAGGUGGCUCAUCAAGUCUGCUGUUAAAGAGCGANGCUUAACUUCGUAAAAGCAGUGGAAACUGAAGAGCUAGAGUAUAGUAGGGGCANAGGGAAUUCCUGGUGUAGCGGUGAAAUGCGUAGAGAUCAGGAAGAACACCGGUGGCGAAAGCGCUCUGCUGGGCUAAAACUGACACUGAGGGACGAAAGCUAGGGGAGCGAAUGGGAUUAGAUACCCCAGUAGUC
rnacentral:rRNA from 1 species